rnacentral:rRNA from 1 species
UACGUAGGGGGCAAGCGUUGUCCGGAAUCACUGGGCGUAAAGAGCGCGUAGGCGGCUCGGUAAGUCCGUUGUGAAAGUCGAGGGCUCAACCCUCGAAUGCCGGCGGAUACUGUCGGGCUAGAAUCCGGAAGAGGCGAGUGGAAUUCCUGGUGUAGCGGUGAAAUGCGCAGAUAUCAGGAGGAACACCAAUGGCGAAGGCAGCUCGCUGGGACGGUAUUGACGCUGAGACGCGAAAGCGUGGGGAGCAAACAGG